AGACUGGUAAGGAUCAGGAUGAGAAUUAAUCUUGGAUGUUCAUCAGCAGGUGUAGAGUGUCAUGGAAGGUGUUCUGGGCUCCUUUGACUUUAACAUACAUGAAUUCUAAACAUUUGACAUUUCAUACUGCAUGAUGCUGAUGACACAAAUCCUGUUCCAG